UACGUAGGGUGCAAGCGUUGUCCGGAAUCACUGGGCGUAAAGGGCGCGUAGGCGGCCAUUCAAGUCGGGGGUGAAAGCCCAGGGCUCAACCCUGGAAUUGCCUUCGAUACUGUUUGGCUAGAGACCGGAAGAGGUAAGUGGAACUGCGAGUGUAGAGGUGAAAUUCGUAGAUAUUCGCAAGAACACCAGUGGCGAAGGCGGCUGACUGGUCCGGUUCUGACGCUGAGGCGCGAAAGCGUGGGGAGCAAACAGG
rnacentral:rRNA from 1 species